UCUGACGGUUACAGAACACUAGAGAAGCUAGUUCUUUAAUCGACAACACCCGAUAAUUUUUACUUUUUCCCAUAGCAUAUAUACCGCCGUUACUGCAAACCAAAAAACUAAACCCUAUAAAAACAUUUUUAAAAAAUCAGGUCAAGGUGUAGUUAAUGAAUAAGACAGAAUAAGCCACACAUAAUAAGCAAUCAUAGCUCAUAAUAUUAAAAUAACAA
rnacentral:rRNA from 1 species